UCGAUUGUUCCACAACCUGUCUGCGGACCACCUAAAUAGAGCUCGUGGACCAGUGGUGGUCCACAGACCACAGUUUGAGAACCUCUGAGAAAGAGGGUCCUGGAACCAU